AUUGAACGCUGGCGGCAUGCCUAAUACAUGCAAGUCGAACGGACAGACGCCUAGCUUUCUCCUCUGACGGCGGCGGCGGACGUGUUAGUUACACAUGUAUCACCUACCUAUGCGACUGGGAUAACAACGUGAAACCGUAGCUAAUACCGGAUAAUAUAUUGAACCGCAUGGUUCAAUAGCUAAAGCCGGCUUUGCUGUCGCUUAUAGAUGGAUUCGUGGCGGAUUAGCUAGUUGGUAGGGUAACGGCUUACCAAGGCAACGAUGCGUAGCAGACCUGAGAGGGUGAUCGGCCACACUGGAACUGAGACACGGCCCAGACUCCUACGGGAGGCAGCAGUGGGGAAUCUUGCACAAUGGGCGAAAGCCUGACCCAGCAAUGCCGCGUGAAGGAUGAAGGUCUUCGGAUUGUAAAACGCUUUUAUAAGGAAAGAAAAAAUUUGUAAGAAACCAGGCGCGUCUUGACGGUACCGAAUGAGAAAGCAACGGCUAACUACGUG
rnacentral:rRNA from 1 species